ACUCUCAGCAGACUGAAGAACGAACCAUGCACAGGUGUUUGGGGCUGGAGCAGGCACGGUGGGACCGAAGUGGAGAUCCCUUUGCUACUGGAUUGCACCCUGAAGUUUCAUUCCCCGGCAUGGUGCAUGGAGAGCGCGUGGUGAACCGGUAACGUGCUGACUGACAGGAUCUGAGGAGGACCUGGAAAAACACGUCAGUCUGAAUCCAAUUUUGAGUAUGAUGGGGAAAGUGGCUUCUCUGGCCCAUAGCUUGACACCGGUGUUUUGGAUCCCGUCCAUUCUACAUGGCUUUGCUGGAGUCACCACAUCUUUUUGAAAUUAUCUGUCUUUGGCACCACAGAGUAUAAAUAUGCUUUGGCAUGACCAAGGAUUUUACUAAAAUGUUCAAUUUUUAAGGAUCUGUUAGGGGAACUGGACAGCUAGAUGGGGGGGGCAAGGACAAGCUGGGGAGAAAUACAACGCGACUUGUAUCUUGGAACAAUCUCUGCAUGGCAAGCCGCUUAAAAGCAAGCCAGCUUAACAACAGCAGGCAAAAAAUGUUUGGUAUGUUACGAUGUUACAUUCAUCUUACUGCUCCAUUAAUACACGAGUGACAGAAAGUCACUUCCAGCCACCUCCCCUGCUGCUUGUAGUACCUGAUUCCUGUGAAAGACUUUCGCAGAAAUGACAGAAAACCCACUGUUCUGAUAGCAUUAUGGCAGAGUAUGACUCACCAAUUAUGGAAUACGUUUUCCAAGUGAGUAAAUACCAGCAUUUUGGGUAAGUUUUCUCCUUCUAACUGAGCUAUGACUUUUCAAAAAUAAUGAUGUCUUUGUAUUAAUCUUUGAUGUCUUUUUCACAAAAUAGGCUAACAAGCGUAAUGAUAAAUGGCACAAUGAUCCCCCUGUCCUGGAAACUCUCUGCAGUGAGAGAAAAGUGAUUUAAAAGAUAAGAGGAGGUGAGGAAAACCCCAGGAACUUGCCCUUGUGCAGGAAGGAGGGAAAAAAAUAACAAACACAGAUGCUAGAGACUAAGUGUACCUAUUAUUAGCGUGCACUUGCAUUGGCUUGCUCCCUGUCAAACAAUGUAAGUGAAGGAUAUGUUGGUCUAGAAGAUACAGAGGUGGGCUUCACAGGAGUCUGCGCUAGAAAUUCCCAAAUCAUUAAGAAAGCUCCUUCAGCAAAGUCUGCACUUUCUCCCCGUUGCUCCUUCCCCGGGGCACUGCCUGACUGGCAGUGCAGCUCCCUCGUGGUGCCCUCCCCUCUGUGCCUAUGCGCUUGGGGGUCCUGCUGUUGUCCUUGUUCCCACCGCCCUGGGGUUUGCCUUCACCAGAGCUAGCUUUGAAGUGGAGAGUUGCUUUCAUACCACCUGGAGAAACCUUUACCUUUGUGAUCCCAAAGCACAUGGAUCAGCAAACAGGACUUUUUUUUACACUGCCAAAAUACAUCCUCCUGGUUUGGACUUGCCUUGACCGACUGAGAAGGGACCCUGGGCAUCCCAGAGGACAAUGCUGAGUCAGAUCAACCCUACGCGGAGGCUGGAAGGGAGUAGUUUAACACUGCAGCCAGUAUGAUGCCACUGGAAAGCAAUUACAGUGGUUCCCAACUAAGCUUUCUAUCUGCAAUGCAAUUUAUUUAAAGCUACAGAUGUUGCUUUUGCUUUAACAAUGAUAAUUUUGCCUCAUAGGGACAACAUUUGGGGCUUUUCUCUCCGCCAAACUUUCCAGUAUUUCUAGCAUUCCACAUGCAGCAAUGCGCAAUUGUGGCUCUUUUCCUUACCGAGCUGUUUGCUCCCUCUAGCCCUGUCGAAACUGAAAAUGAGUGUUACUCCGAUUCGUCUUGAGGUCUGUGUGAGGCACCACUGAGGAGGAAGAGAGGGCUCUCAUUUGACACGCAGGUUUCAGGUUUGACAGAAGAGGAAUGGUACCGUACACCUUGCUUUGUAACGUUUCUGUUUUCCCCAAGGAAAAACAGCAACAUUUGUUGUGUAACAAGAAAACAUUCAGCUUUCUUGCUCAAUGUCUUGAGUUAGCUCGUGGGACAAGCUAACGAAAUUGGAGCACGAUCAGAUAUUUCAGUUGCCGUGACUCAGUAUCUACUGUCGCAUGCAUCAGGCCGUGGGAGACUGGGUAAGUUAACUGAGACUUUGUAGAGGGCACAGAAGAAAAAAGCGACCCAUUUCUUUUGGGACUCCCUUCACCUGGCCACAUGUUAAAAGAGAGCUGACCCAUCUUAACUAAAAUGUGUUUAAUGGAAACAGUUCACAAAAGCAAAGGAAAAAGAAGGGAUCUUUCCCCCUGCUUAGAUAGACCCUUGCUGAAGCUGAACAGAUUUCUGUUAGGGAGGAGCUGGUGAGCUGAAAAAUGCAAAUAGCAUCCCUCCUCCCCUUUCUGGAAUUUUGUUUCACAAUCAGCUUUCCAAUGGGGGGAAAAAAAAGUGUGUAUGUGAAAACUCAAGAAAGAACAGCAACAACAGAAGAUGAGUUUCUACUGUUUCCCCAGAAGAUAUCACUCAAGUCAAGACGGGUCCCUUAAUUUUGCCCUCAGUUUUCAGUUUUGCAUGUUGCAGCUACUGGUAAGAACGCCUUUUUGGAGGUCCUUUCUCUGAUGAGGUAGCGUUUCCAAUUAGCUGUUUUUAGGAGGAAUAAAGUGAGGUAUUUCGGGAAGGUGACUGGGCGCCAGGAUUUCUCAAGCUGUGUGGAGACACCCUCCUCCAGCUCCGGCAGGGCGACAAAACCCGUUAUUGCUGCCGGCUGGGGUCACCGCACCCACGGAGGAGUGGCGCCCGAACGCUCCCAAAGCCCCUCCGGGCAAAACCCUCACGGUUAGCCCCAAAAGUCUGCCUAGGCGGUAUGGGUAACCGGCAGGCGCCGGUGGCCCUGUGUUGCAAUGGACGUGUGUCUGUGGCCUUAGGUCCCACUCCUGCACCUGUCACUGACUCGCCGUGAUCCGGGGCAGGUUGCAAUCUCGCCCUGUAUCAGCUUAGUCAUUUUUAAAAUGAGUAUAGCAAUGCUUAGCCCUAAACCUGGCAGGGAAUUACUCACAGAACCUGAACAGAUAGCAGCUGCCUUCCACUCUAGAAGCAGGGGCUGAAAUUACACCCCGCAAUUAUAAUGUAGUUAACCUGUGACUGCGCUUUGAAUUUUUUUCCUUCAAGCUAAUUAUUACUAAAACUGUAAAGUUAACAGCAUGAUCAAGUUGUUUAUCACUGUCCUGAGAGGAAAUCAUCAUUUGAUUGCACACUCUUCAGAACCCAGGUACCGUGCACGCCUUAUAUUUACACUACCAUUAAGAUAACAUUAUUAUUAAUACCGCUGAUUUCCCUGAAAUGUUGUUGAUAUUAAUAAUGUUUAAUUCAAACUCCUCUGUUCCUUAGGAGGAAUCAAAGCCCAUAUUUAUUAUUAAGCUUGCAAAUGUUUAAUAAGCAGCCUGUCCAAGCAAAAUUACAGCCUUUGCAAUGAGAUGGCAAUAGACCACGGGAUCCUUGCCGGCUUGCCGAAGUUGAGAGAAGAAAAGCUCCAGCGGGUUCAGUGAGCUUUGGAUCUGGCUCCCUGCCACUGUGAAGAGCCAGGAGGGAGCACAUGGACAGUGGAAACAGAUGCCGGCUCCGCAGACUUGCUGCCACUGCGGUUUCGGUAGCUGUAGGUGGCUGCCAGUGUAACUUGUGCCAGGCGGUAGUGACUGACAGGUGUCAUGGCAAAGAGUGCAGUCCUGUUGUGCAUUAGGCUGUGCCUUGAGUAAAAAAGCCUCAAAAAACAGGCAUCCUAGUGGCAUUCCGAACUGUCCCAAAGACAUGCUCUCGAUAGAGCACUUAACUGAAGGCGAUUAGAGGAUGGAUUUGCUUAGUAUGAUCAUUUUCUGCAUCAAAUCGAAGCAUCAUCCAAAAUCCUAUCAGCUCAUCUGAAACCUCCAAGACCCGAGACAUCACGUUUCAGUACUUAGGCUGAAAAUUCCUUGUGUUAGCGAUGGUCUGUAUGUUAUAUAGAUUAGAAGAGUAGAGAUCUAGUCUCUAGGUAUUACUCCAAUGCAAAUAAUUGUAAUUAACAGUUUGCCCAUCUCCAAAGAAAACUACUUGCUCACAUACUGUAUGUACCAAUAAGGGAAGGGAAGAAGCAGUGGUAUGUCUUUCCUAUAGUAAAGCAGACUGGCUAAAAACAUUUGCUUGCAUCCCAUAGUGGAAUUUAUUGCAGUUUAGGCAUGGUUUCCUUCACUGUUCUUUGCUAGUUCUGGAUAGAAAGAUGCAAAAGGUUUAGUGUGGUCCUUUUUUGCCAGAAAUUUACUUUAUUUGCUCUGGGAAGAGAGCAGGAACUAAUCAUGCCUCCAGCCUCCUAGUGUGGGGCAGGGUUAGAGACUGUGUUUUAUCACAUGAUGGGAGUCAGGGACUCACGAUGGCCAGGGCUCAUGUUAUGGGAGGGAGACAAGUAGUUCAGACGACUGCUCUUUCUGGAUGACAUCAGUAAUUGGGUCAUCCAAACUUCUUGCCAUGGACUCCAGCCAAAAAGAGAGAAGUGGAGCCUUGAUGUUUGCAAUGGAAAAUAACAGGACUUCCGCUGUACCCACUGGUUUUCAAAGUAUUAAGGGCUAAGGUGUGGUGUGCUCAGCAUAAGGAAGGAUAAAGUGAAAAGCAGUAGGGAUCAGUGUGCUGGGAAGUUAGAGAUGCUCUACGGUCCUGCUUCAUCUCACCUUAACAUCCCUUUGACUUCAACAGAAUCUAAACUAUUUGUACAUGAUCUGAGAAAUCAAGGUGGGCAGAAGUGCAUACAGAGUCACAGGGAUCAUACUGCAGUCUGGGUCUGUACUACCAGGAGUGGGAGCAUUUCUCAGUCCUUUGGCCAAGUGCACUCCCUUGCCCUGUUAUGCCUUCAGACUGGAAGGACGACUAGUGCUCCAAUAGAAAUUACUCCAGGAAGUGACUUUUCUGAAUUUGUUUGUAGUUUCUAUAGCACUCAGAGUUAGCAUUAGGACCAUGCUUUGCCAGUGCCUUCACAGAGCAACAGGCAAUUGAACGCAGUCUCUGGGAGCAAUCUGGAUGGUGCAAUUCUUAUAUCCACUAAGCAUAGUGCAUAGUGUAAAGAUACAAAAGAAACUCGGAUAUUUUCUUCAUGCUUUCUGUCUACCUAUGAAUAGACCCAUGCUGUAGGAAGUUGAAGAGAGGGAAAAAAAAGAAAAAAAAAGUCCAAAGCAGACUUUAUACAUCUUGAAGAAUUGGGAAAGGGAUAUUCCUUCCCUAAUGCAUCAUCUUUUCUUCCCGCAUCACCUUUGCUGUAGCCUCCAAGAGUAAGGAGUGUCAUGGUUGAGAUAUUGUAAAGAUUUCUCCCUUUAAGAAGACAAGGUUAUGAAUUAGGGCACUUCUUCUGGGCCUUGAAGAAGCUGAUUCUUCUCUCUGCUCGCCCCCAAUCUCCUGGUGUGCCUCUGAGUGAGUCACUUUGACAUUUUUCGAGGGCAGGACACGCCUAACUCCUACUAUGUGCAAAAUUUAUGUUCUCAAAGACCUCACUGAGCUGCCACCUAUCAUGGAAACAAGCACCCAAGGAUGCGUUGAGGAGUAUAGCUGCUGCAGGUCAGACACCUCAGUGCACACCGGUGUUACGGGGCUCUGAGCAGCUGCUGAACUUGCCCAUGGGGCUGCAUAAUUGCAGGGGUGGCGAGCCCCCAUGUCAGGCCACUGCAGCUGUGCAACCAGCAGCCUCUGCAGAGAGGGCUGAGUGAUCCUCUGGGAGCCUGCUGUGCAGGCAAAGCCUUCGUUAAGGCUCAUGCAUACCAAGACACCAGCUUUUGGGUACCCCUCUGGUGUGUACACCUGUAGGAACAAGUUGAAUCCCUGAAGGUCCAACCAGCUCAGUGUGCUGUUAUUAAGCACAACCAGAAAUGGCUGUUUAGGGAAGGAGUAUGGGAAAUGGGGCAAAUCUGGAGUGAACAUUCACCUGCUCUACCCUCCCCUAAUCAUUGCCCUGCCCAUCCUUGGGGACAUUGAGUAGAUGCCCUGGAGCAGGGCCAUGGGGCUUGUCCCACGCAGGCUGGUGGCAGCUGCGUCUGUCGUCAGCUAGUCCCAUAAUUUGCAUGAUUUGUCCACUUCAUUAGAAAGUGCCAGUGCCGUGUCUGAGGGGAUUUGAACUUGCCUCAAGUUUUCUCCUUUUAAGUAGACUUUAGAGUGUUGUCGGGUGUGUGUGGGGGCCUCAUCUGCUUUCUGUGACAUGGCUUGGGCAUAAGGCGAAGGGUUGCGAGGGGUCAAUCAGUGGAAAGUCCUGAAACUUCUCAAUGUCGUGAUGCCUAAUUUCAUCUGUGGGUCUAGCCAGCAGCAUCUCCAUGCCUUGUUCUCAUUUUGCAAAAUGAGAUUAUGGUACUCCCCUAAGCUGGCACGAGUGUCAUGAAAACAAACAAAAGAUUGCAAAAUGUUAAUAUUGCAGCAAUGGAAUGCAUUUAAAUACCUCAAGGAGAUGGCCUGAGUGGUGUGUAUACUCUGUCAUGUCAUGCUUUAUUUUCCCUGGAAAAAAUGGAGGACUCGAACUAUUGUUUACAAAUUGGCCGUCAGAUUAUUCACUUGUGUAGUGCUGUUAAAUCCAAAAGUUAUACCACAGGUGGAUUUGGCCCCGUAUUCUUUAACGAAUUUGUUAAUAAGGUCUAACAGGCUGUCUGUAUUUUAGAAUGCUCAGUUAUUAGUCAGCAAAUUAAGCUUACAGCCAUGUCACCCAUGUGGAAAACACACAGAAAAGUAUAUCUAAAAGAAACCAUAAAGAACGUGAAAAUCAAUAUUGUAGGGGUAAUAGCCUGUUACUGGGAAAAGCUGGCUGUUUUUUGAAAACUAAUUUCUUAUUGUUUGCUUAUCAGCUUAAGUAAACCCAGCUAAGUUGCCUCCGGUUUGGGGUGAUAACACUGAAAUCCAUCAGGAAAAGUAAAGCUACAAUUUUUAUAUUAUUACUCAGUUUAUUCCUCCCUUUAUUCUAUAGAGACAUUGUAGCUUCAUGAGUUUCCUCUUAACCCCAGUGAGGGUAAUUUUGCCAGAGGGGCAGCCUCCAAGCUAGUGAACCCACCACUGUUAGACGCUGAGUUCCCUGCAGAUAUUGACUCCUUCCAUUCCUGGUAGUAAAGUGCCAUCUGCUUCUGUGGGAACGGAGGAAUUUCUGUUCCCCUAAGGAAUGGGGCCUCUGUUUCCAAAAAAACCCCUGCAAAUGCAGACAGAAGAAGUAGAUGAGGUCAUUGUCUACAUGUUACCACAGGAGGGUAGAUGCUGACACUUUACCUUAUCCCACUGAACUUUCUUUGCGAUACAGUAGAUUUUUAAAGCAGUGGGCGGUGUACGCUUGCUUCUGGUAAAACAGAAGAGACCAAUAUGUAGGGCUUUUACUGCCUCAAUAUCCCAAGGAAGUCAGAGUUAGCUCCAGUGCUUAAAAGUAAAAUAUGGUUAUGGCUCUAAAAUACAAGCUACAUUUAACAACCAUAUACUGAUUUUUUUUCCCUUGUAAUUUUAUUUCCGUGAACAUUUCUGUUUUCUUAAUUAGUAGCCUUUUAAAGAGAGAUUUAACAUUUUCAUUAUCAGAGGGUUUAACUUAUGAAACAGCUGUAUGGAGAGAGAGGGAGAGAGAGCUGAAGACAGAGAUUGAGAGAAAAAAGAUAGCAUCGGUGAAAGAAUUUCUAUCUGUAUUUCAAGGGAAAAAUUGUGUGCACAUGUGUGCGCACACGCACACACACAUGCACACACACACACUGGCCCUGACGUUAUAGCUAAGACAAAAUAGCUGUGGCUAAGCGGGUGACAAAACUCAGCAAUUUCCAAUUGCACAGUCACUCUGUAACGGGAAGAACUGUUUACCCCAUGUUCCUUAUUAAACUGAAGUAUUUUAUUUAAUGAGCAUGACUCAUGCAAGGUGUUCCCAUAAAUCAUCAGCUGGUUUACAAACUCAAUAACUAGGCUUCCUGCUAUAACUAGGCUGUGCACACCUUAAAUUAUUAACAUGCCAGGGCCUUAAGGCAGAUCUUUGAUGAUGAUGAUAUAAACACUGUGAGGACAAGGUGCUCUCUCAGCAAAAGAUUAUUGACUCUAAUUACCAUUUACCACAGGAAAAAGAAAAGAAAAGACAAUAAAAUAUGAUGGAGAAUUUAAAUCUCAGAUUUAAUUUUAUGAGGAGUUUUAAACCCCCAAACUUUUUGUUGUUGUUGUCUUUUUGCUGCCGCCAUUGUCAGCUGCUGCUGUUGCAUGAUACUCUAUAGUUGGCUGAUCUUGAAAGCAUGACAGUUGUUAAGAAGAAAAGAAACAAAAAAAUAAAGCAUGAGAGAAUGUUCGGUUGAUGUUACGUACAUUCUUUGAAAUGGAUGGAAAAAGGCCAGAGGGAACAGAAAAUGAUAAUACAUUGGAAAGAAUCCCAGCCUUAAUUGUUUUCAUGUAUGUAAUGUAAUAAAAAGGUUAAAGCACUAAUA